GAUGAACGCUGGCGGCGUGCCUAAUACAUGCAAGUCGAGCGAACGGACGAGAAGCUUGCUUCUCUGAUGUUAGCGGCGGACGGGUGAGUAACACGUGGAUAACCUACCUAUAAGACUGGGAUAACUUCGGGAAACCGGAGCUAAUACCGGAUAAUAUUUUGAACCGCAUGGUUCAAAAGUGAAAGACGGUCUUGCUGUCACUUAUAGAUGGAUCCGCGCUGCAUUAGCUAGUUGGUAAGGUAACGGCUUACCAAGGCAACGAUGCAUAGCCGACCUGAGAGGGUGAUCGGCCACACUGGAACUGAGACACGGUCCAGACUCCUACGGGAGGCAGCAGUAGGGAAUCUUCCGCAAUGGGCGAAAGCCUGACGGAGCAACGCCGCGUGAGUGAUGAAGGUCUUCGGAUCGUAAAACUCUGUUAUUAGGGAAGAACAUAUGUGUAAGUAACUGUGCACAUCUUGACGGUACCUAAUCAGAAAGCCACGGCUAACUACGUGCCAGCAGCCGCGGUAAUACGUAGGUGGCAAGCGUUAUCCGGAAUUAUUGGGCGUAAAGCGCGCGUAGGCGGUUUUUUAAGUCUGAUGUGAAAGCCCACGGCUCAACCGUGGAGGGUCAUUGGAAACUGGAAAACUUGAGUGCAGAAGAGGAAAGUGGAAUUCCAUGUGUAGCGGUGAAAUGCGCAGAGAUAUGGAGGAACACCAGUGGCGAAGGCGACUUUCUGGUCUGUAACUGACGCUGAUGUGCGAAAGCGUGGGGAUCAAACAGGAUUAGAUACCCUGGUAGUCCACGCCGUAAACGAUGAGUGCUAGGUGUUAGGGGGUUUCCGCCCCUUAGUGCUGCAGCUAACGCAUUAAGCACUCCGCCUGGGGAGUACGACCGCAGGGUUGAAACUCAAAGGAAUUGACGGGGACCCGCACAAGCGGUGGAGCAUGUGGUUUAAUUCGAAGCAACGCGAAGAACCUUACCAAAUCUUGACAUCCUUUGACAACUCUAGAGAUAGAGCCUUCCCCUUCGGGGGACAAAGUGACAGGUGGUGCAUGGUUGUCGUCAGCUCGUGUCGUGAGAUGUUGGGUUAAGUCCCGCAACGAGCGCAACCCUUAAGCUUAGUUGCCAUCAUUAAGUUGGGCACUCUAAGUUGACUGCCGGUGACAAACCGGAGGAAGGUGGGGAUGACGUCAAAUCAUCAUGCCCCUUAUGAUUUGGGCUACACACGUGCUACAAUGGACAAUACAAAGGGCAGCGAAACCGCGAGGUCAAGCAAAUCCCAUAAAGUUGUUCUCAGUUCGGAUUGUAGUCUGCAACUCGACUACAUGAAGCUGGAAUCGCUAGUAAUCGUAGAUCAGCAUGCUACGGUGAAUACGUUCCCGGGUCU
rnacentral:rRNA from 1 species